rnacentral:rRNA from 1 species
UACGUAGGCAGCAAGCGUUGUUCGGAAUUACUGGGCGUAAAGAGUGUGUAGGCGGUGCUCUAAGUUCGGUGUGAAAUCUCCCGGCUCAACUGGGAGGGUGCGCCGGAAACUGGAGUGCUGGAGCGCGGGAGAGGAAAGCGGAAUUCCUGGUGUAGCGGUGAAAUGCGUAGAUAUCAGGAGGAACACCGGCGGUGUAGACGGCUUUCUGGACCGUAGCUGACGCUGAGGCACGAAAGCGUGGGGAGCGAACAGG